rnacentral:lncRNA from 1 species
AAAGAAGUGAAGAAUUCCAAAAGAGCUCCAUAGUGGUAUCAUAAAUUGUAAUUGUCUAGAUUAUGUAUGCUUGGGUUGCUCAACCAAAAAUACCUUGAGGCUAGGAGGUUUUCUGCGGAUGGAUUCGGAGGGAUGCAUAAAAUGAGCAUUGUUCGGAAAAAGUGGGCGAAUGUUUAUGAGGAUUGUGAGUAUUUAGAGUAUGGGGGGUUCCUUAGGAAAAACUUUAGACACAAAUGCAUGCGUUGCGGUCUUGGCAUUAUCAUUGGGUUCGAUUGGGAUUAUCUUAUGUGGUAUUAGUAUGUUAAAAUUCAGUUUUGCUUGGGGGCAAGCAAUAGUCAAGUGUGGGGUAUUUUGAUAUGGACAUAUUUAGUCACAAGAAUCAUGCAUGAUCUUAAUACUUUAUGUUAAUUUUAUCUCAAAUAAUGAACCAAAGGUGCUUAAUUAGCUUAAAUAUUUCAUUUUCAACAACAAAGACAUGCUCGGAUGGAAAAGGAAGCGGAAUUAGCGAUUGGAGGCAUGGAUCUUGGAUUUUGAAGAAAGAUGGAUGUCGUUGGACAGCUUGACCCCUCGUCAGUAUUUUGGCCAUAUCUCAUGAACCAGAACUCCGAUUGACGAGAUUACAAACGUUCUGAAAACUAGACACAAUUUCAGACGACUUUCGUGUUUUGAGAAAAUGAUGAUUCCAAAUGGACUCGACAAGUAGGUCAUCAACUCGACGAGUUGGUCAGAAGUUUCGCGAUUCUUGACAUUGCCUUGCCGCACACGGGAUUUUAAGUGAUUGACUCGCCGAGUAGGUCACUGGAGUCGCCGAGUAGCCCCUGUUUUUAGAAUAUAUAUAUAGAAACGCUUCUCAUUCGAACCCUAACUAAUGGGGGAAGUUUAGGACGAUUUUUGGAGGCCAGAAGAGUUCUUAGAAGCUGUGGUUUGCGAGAUUUCAACUUAGAUAUCAAUUUGGAAGAAGAUCAAAGGCAAUAACACACUAAUUUUAUCUUAAUCUUUUGCAUAAACCAUGUUUCAAUCAUUAGAUUAUGUUUUCACAUUGUUAUUUGCUGUAGAUAUGAGCUAAAAACUCAUAACUUUUGUUUAGGAUAGAUGAUUUUGUGAUCAUGGUUUGAUUUUAUGGUAGGAUUGAUUUAAUAUUGGUGACUUUGUUGAUUUUAGUUUGUUAAAGAACCUUAUGUGUGAAUGAUAACUAUUUUUCUGUUAAUAGGAAGAUAAUUAAGCUGCAUGAACAUCUCUUAAUUGUUUACCUCAUAUGAUUUAUGUGAACACUUUAUUAUAUGACUAGGAUUAGCGAAUGUGAAACUAGAUUUAAUAAGAAAAAUAGGUAAAUUCAUGUGUGAGCUUGUGUGAUGACCAUCAACAAGAGGUUAACUAAAGGACCAAAUUAGUUAACCAUUACAAGUCUAAAUUAACCCGAAUAAAUAACCUAGUGAAAUCAAUUAAAUUAGACAACUGGCCACUGUUUGAGUUACUUUGUUCUCUAAGGUAUAGCGCAGCGAAUGUGAAUCUAAUCACUUGAAUCGGUAGCCAAUAGAAGAAUUAAUCCAUUACACUAUUACCAUAAUAUCAACCACAGGAUCAAUUGAGUUGAACGAAAUAGAAGUUCCCUUCGUUAUUAAAUUUAGUUAAAUCUUUGCUUAUCUGGUUUUUAGUUAAGUAGUCUAAGUAUUAGUUGGUAAGUUUCUAGUCUUGCAAAACUAGAGAAACCCCCUUUCUAUUACUUGUUUUAUUAAGAUAAUAUUAGCAUUUAUUUUAAUUGUUUACUGUUCUCUGUGUUCGAUAGCCUACUUGCUUGAACUAUAUUACUAAUCGAUAGGUACACUGCCUUUCGUGUGUUUAUUUUGUGUCUAAGUUAGUAGGAUUAAAACUAGUUCGUUUCACACACAUCAAGUUUUUGGCGCCGUUGCCGGGGAACGGUUCUAAAUAGUUAAUUUUAUUUGCUAAUUGUUAUCAUAUAUUUUUAUUUUGUAUAUUUAGUUUAAUUUUUAUUUUUAUUUAUUUUUUUAUGUAUUUUCCAUAUCUCGAUGCUUUUGAUGCUUUUCUUGAGGAAGUAGUACAGGAAAUUGAGCAAGAAGAUGAGGAGUGUGGAUCGGAUGAAGAUUUGAAGAAAUUUGAUAGAUGGUUAGAUAACAUCUUGUCUAACGAUCAAGAACAAUAUGAGUCACAAGAGCUAAAGUUACAAGGUGAAGAAUUUAAUCCAGAAAGAGAUUUUGAGGAGCUGGAAAGGUUGCUAGCAGAGAGGUCGGAUGAAGAACAAAAACAAAUUGAAUUGUAGGAACCAACCCGUGGUUUGACCAUUACCAUGACAUGGCCCCCUGUAUUUUCGGAUUGUGUUUCGAAGCAUGGGGUGACGAUCCCAUCUUUGGAGAAAGUUCUAAAUCGCGAUCCAUUUAUGAUUAGUAUCCAACCAGUUCCAACCCUUGUCAAUAUUCUUGGGUUUUAUGAAUUCAAGAUCGUUUGGCCAAUUUUUGAUGCAAAGAGCCAAAUUUUACAAUUUGGUCCAAGGAAAAUAUUCAAUGCAACGGAUGGAUUGGCAUUGAGUUUAUUAAGUUGGGAGUCCAGCUAAAGACUCGCACAAAAAGAAGAGCUUGCGGGAGGCAACCCGUCAUUAGAGUUUGCAUUUCUUUUUCUUUUUAAACUUCUAGUUUGUUAGGGCAAUUUAGGAUUUUAAUUUUAAUGUUUCUUUUCGUUUUUCUAUUACUUGUGUGUUGUUUUGAUAUUUUCAGUUUGAAGCUUAGGAUUGCAUGUGAGGGUCUAGAGUCAAGGCUAAACGAAGCGAGAAAUCGAGUCUAGGCGAGAGAGGAAACGAAGUUUUGAGUAAAGCUAUGAGUCCAACUGAUAGAAGGGUUAUAGAUUGUUUAUUACCUAAAGAAAAAUGAAGGAAAAUAUUAGUUUAUAUAACCCCCAUACGUCAGAAACAGACUUGGGCAGAAUAAAAUUUUUGUCACACAGCGGUCUACUUGCCGAGUGCAUGUUAUGGACUCGACGAGUCCAUGUGAAAUUUAGCGACUUUUCUUCCAAUCAAGCUACAACUCGGCGAGUCUACAUACUUACUCGACGAGUCACUCAUUCUUCUUACUUUUGAGCUGAAGAUUUGAUGACAUUUGAUAUGGGUAUUGGUUCUAUUCUUUGAAGAUCAUUUUCCAAGCAUUUCCAAGAGUUUUUCCCUUAUAUUUGGAGCUUUUAUAAAGACUGUACCACACGAGAAUUGACACCCGAGGCAUGGAUGAGCUGAUCCCAUGUCUAAAGUCAAUUGAAGAUGGAGCUGAAGAGAAGAGAUAUCAACCUCGCCACUACUAUACCAGGGGAGUUUGUUCCAAUUCUCUCUUUAUUUUUAUUGUUCUUUAUCAUGCAUGAUAUGAAAUGGGGACAUUGCAUAAAUUAAGUGUGGGGUAGGGGUUGGUUGGUUACACUAGUUAAAUUUUAAAAUUUUUCAUAAAAUUUGUUAGAAUUAAUUUAGAAAAUUUUUGUAAAGCAAUUAGGGAUCAUGCUAUUAUUAUAUUUGAUGAUUCUAUGAAGACCCAAAUGUUUAGUUGAGCCAAUAUACGUUAUAAUGCAUUUGUGGCCUCCCUUAUUCUAGUGAAAUCAUGGGACAAAAACACAACCUCGCUUAAUUUGAGGAACAAAACAUGUUUAGCAUCGUGUACCAGAAAUGUAUCUAGGAAAAUAUUUAUCUUUAAACAAUAAAGGUUGAAGUUGAGCGUCCUUGCUUAAGCAUGUAGGUUUUGAGUGAAAAAAAAGUGAGUUACAUGUAAAAAAAAAAAGAGAGAGAAUUACAAGAAAAGUUGUAAGAAUUUUGGAGCAAUCGAGAGAGAAUUACAAGAAAAGUUGUAAGAAUUUUGGAGCAAUCAAAGUGAAGAUCGAAAGAUCAAAUUUUUGAAGAAAUUCAAAAGUUGAAGAUAACCAAAAAUUAAAGAUCAAAUGUCAAAGAAGUGAAGAAUUCCAAAAGAGCUCCAUAGUGGUAUCAUAAAUUGUAAUUGUCUAGAUUAUGUAUGCUUGGGUUGCUCAACAAAAAUACCUUGAGGUUAGGAGGUUUUCUGCGGAUGGAUUCGGAGGGAUGCAUAAAAUGAGCAUUGUUCGGAAAAAGUGGGCGAAUGUUUAUGAGGAUUGUGAGUAUAUAGAGUAUGGGGGGUUCCUUAGGAAAUACUUUAGACACAAAUGCAUGCGUUGCGGUCUUGGCAUUAUCGUUGGGUUCGAUUGGGAUUAUCUUAUGUGGUAUUAGUAUGUUAAAAUUCAGUUUUGCUUGGGGGCAAGCAAAAGUCAAGUGUGGGGUAUUUUGAUAUGGACAUAUUUAGUCAUAAGAAUCAUGCAUGAUCUUAAUACUUUAUGUUAAUUUUAUCUCAAAUAAUGAACCAAAGGAGCUUAAUUAGCUUAAAUAUUUCAUUUUCAACAACAAAGACAUGCUCGGAUGGAAAAGGAAGCGGAACUAGCGAUUGGAGGCAUGGAUCUUGGAUUUUGAAGAAAGAUGGAUGUCGUUGGACAGCUUGACCCCUCAUCAGUGUUUUGGCCAUAUCCCAUGAACCAGAACUCCGAUUGACGAGAUUCAAAACGUUCUGAAAACUAUACACAAUUUCAGACGACUUUCGUGUUUUGAGAAAAUGAUGAUUCCAAAUGGACUCGACAAGUAGGUCAUCAACUCGACGAGUUGGUCAGAAGUUUCGCGAUUCUUGACUUUGCCUUGCCCCACACGGGAUUUUAAGUGAUUGACUCGCCGAGUAGGUCACUGGACUCGCCGAGUAGC